rnacentral:rRNA from 1 species
CCUACGGGAGGCAGCAGUGGGGAAUAUUGCACAAUGGGGGAAACCCUGAUGCAGCGAAGCCGCGUGAGUGAAGAAGUAAUUCGUUAUGUAAAGCUCUAUUAGCAGGGAAGCAAAUGCCGGUACGUGAGUCAGAAGCCCCGGCUAACUACGUGCCAGCAGCCGCGGGACUACGGAGGGGGCAAGGGUUAUCCGGAUUUACUGGGUGUAAAGGGAGCGUAGAUGGCAGUGCAAGUCUAGAGUGAAAGGCGGGGGCGGAAACCCCGGACAGCCGUUGAAACUGGAGGGCUGGAGUGCAGGAGAGGUAUGUGGAAUGCGUAGUGUAGCGGUGAAAUGCGUAGAUAUUAGGAAGAACACCAGUGGCGAAGGCGGCUUACUGGAGGCUAACUGACGCUGAGGCUCGAAAGCGUGGGUAUCAAACAGGAUUAGAUACCCCAGUAGUC